UCGAGCGAACGGACGAGAAGCUUGCUUCUCUGAUGUUAGCGGCGGACGGGUGAGUAACACGUGGAUAACCUACCUAUAAGACUGGGAUAACUUCGGGAAACCGGAGCUAAUACCGGAUAAUAUUUUGAACCGCAUGGUUCAAAAGUGAAAGACGGUCUUGCUGUCACUUAUAGAUGGAUCCGCGCUGCAUUAGCUAGUUGGUAAGGUAACGGCUUACCAAGGCAACGAUGCAUAGCCGACCUGAGAGGGUGAUCGGCCACACUGGAACUGAGACACGGUCCAGACUCCUACGGGAGGCAGCAGUAGGGAAUCUUCCGCAUUGGGCGAAAGCCUGACGGAGCUACGCCGCGUGAGUGAUGAAGGUCUUCGGAUCGUCAAACUCUGUUAUUAGGGAAGAACAUAUGUGUAAGUAACUGUGCACAUCUUGACGGUACCUAAUCAGAAAGCCACGGCUAACUACGUGCCAGCAGCCGCGCUAAUACGUAGGUGGCAAGCGUUAUCCGGAAUUAUUGGGCGUAAAGCGCGCGUAGGCGGUUUUUUAAGUCUGAUGUGAAAGCCCACGGCUCAACCGUGGAGGGUCAUUGGAAACUGGAAAACUUGAGUGCAGAAGAGGAAAGUGGAAUUCCAUGUGUAGCGGUGAAAUGCGCAGAGAUAUGGAGGAACACCAGUGGCGAAGGCGACUUUCUGGUCUG
rnacentral:rRNA from 1 species